rnacentral:miRNA from 1 species
UUCACGUCGGGUUCAC